rnacentral:rRNA from 1 species
UACGUAGGUGGCAAGCGUUGUCCGGAAUUAUUGGGCGUAAAGCGUGCGCAGGCGGUUAUGUAAGACAGAUGUGAAAUCCCCGGGCUUAACCUGGGAACUGCAUUGGUGACUGGCGGGCUAGAGUAUGGCAGAGGGGGGUAGAAUUCCACGUGUAGCAGUGAAAUGCGUAGAGAUGUGGAGGAAUACCGAUGGCGAAGGCAGCCCCCUGGGCCAAUACUGACGCUCAUGCACGAAAGCGUGGGGAGCAAACAGG